rnacentral:rRNA from 1 species
CCGGACUCCUACGGGAGGCAGCAGUGGGGAAUAUUGCACAAUGGGGGAAACCCUGAUGCAGCGACGCCGCGUGAGUGAAGAAGUAUUUCGGUAUGUAAAGCUCUAUCAGCAGGGAAGAAGAAGGACGGUACCUGAGUAAGAAGCCACGGCUAACUACGUGCCAGCAGCCGCGGUAAUACGUAGGUGGCAAGCGUUAUCCGGAUUUACUGGGUGUAAAGGGCGUGUAGGCGGGGACGCAAGUCAGAUGUGAAAUCCACGGGCUCAACCCGUGAACUGCAUUUGAAACUGUUUCCCUUGAGUGUCGGAGAGGUAAUCGGAAUUCCUUGUGUAGCGGUGAAAUGCGUAGAUAUAAGGAGGAACACCAGUGGCGAAGGCGGAUUGCUGGACAGUAACUGACGCUGAGGCGCGAAAGCGUGGGGAGCAAACAGGAUUAGAUACCCCCGUAU